rnacentral:rRNA from 1 species
UAAUUAUUUAUUGAAACUUAAAUAAUUUGGCGGUAUUUUAGUUCAUUUAGAGGAAUCUGUUUAUUAAUUGAUAAUCCACGAAUGAAUUUACUUAAUUUAAAAUUUUGUAUAUCGUUGUUAAAAAAAUAUUUUUAAAUGAAAAUAAUAUUUUAAUUUUAUAAUUAAAAAUUAAAUCAGAUCAAGAUGCAGAUUAUAAUUAAGAAUAUAAUGGAUUACAAUAAAUUUAUUUAAAUGGAUUUUUUUUUGUAAUAAAAAUUUGAAAGUGGAUUUAAAUGUAAUUUUAUUUAUUUUAAUAAAAUGAUUAUAUAUUAAAAUAUGUACAUAUUGCCCGUCGCUUUCAUAAAUAAAUUGGAAUAAGUCGUAACAAAGUAGAGGUACUGGAAAGUGUUUCUAGAAAUAA